rnacentral:rRNA from 1 species
UAGGGAAUAUUAGUCAUGGGCGAAAGCCUGAACUAGCAACACCGCGUGUGCGAAGAAGGCCUUCGGGUUGUAAAGCACUUUUUGAGAGGAUGAGGAAGGACGGUACUCUCAGAUUAAGUCUCGGCUACCUACGUGCCAGCAGCCCCGGUAACACGUAGGAGGCAAACGUUAUCCGGAUUUACUGGGCGUAAAGCGCGUGUAGGUGGUUCUGUAAGUAGGGCGUGAAAGCUCCUGGCUCAACUGGGAGAGGCCGUUCUAAACUACAGAACUAGAGGAUGGUAGAGGGAGGUGGAAUUCCAGGUGUAGCGGUGGAAUGCGCAGAUAUCUGGAGGAACACCAGUGGCGAAAGCGGCUUCCUGGCCCAUUUCUGACGCUCAGACACGAAAGCUAAGGUAGCAAACG